rnacentral:rRNA from 1 species
GAUGAACGCUGGCGGCGUGCCUAAUACAUGCAAGUCGAGCGAACAGACGAGGAGCUUGCUCCUCUGACGUUAGCGGCGGACGGGUGAGUAACACGUGGAUAACCUACCUAUAAGACUGGGAUAACUUCGGGAAACCGGAGCUAAUACCGGAUAAUAUAUUGAACCGCAUGGUUCAAUAGUGAAAGACGGUUUUGCUGUCACUUAUAGAUGGAUCCGCGCCGCAUUAGCUAGUUGGUAAGGUAACGGGUUACCAAGGCAACGAUGCGUAGCCGACCUGAGAGGGAGGACGGCCACACUGGAACUGAGACACGGUCCAGACUCCUACGGGAGGCAGCAGUAGGGAAUCUUACGCAAUGGGCGAAAGCUUGACGGAGCAACGCCGCGUGAGUGAUGAAGGUCUUCGGAUCGUAAAACUCUGUUAUUAGGGAAGAACAAAUGUGUAAGUAACUAGGCACGUCUUGACGGUACCUAAUCAGAAAGCCACGGCUAACUACGUG